CACUAGUCAGAUGAGUUGCGAACGGGUGAGUAACGCGUAGGUAACCUACCUCAUAGCGGGGGAUAACUAUUGGAAACGAUAGCUAAUACCGCAUGACAAUUAAGUACUCAUGUACUAAAUUUAAAAGGAGCAAUUGCUUCACUAUGAGAUGGACCUGCGUUGUAUUAGCUAGUUGGUGAGGUAACGGCUCACCAAGGCCACGAUACAUAGCCGACCUGAGAGGGUGAUCGGCCACACUGGGACUGAGACACGGCCCAGACUCC
rnacentral:rRNA from 1 species